AUUCUUCGCCGGAUAGCCGCCCGCCACAAUGCGCAAGCUUUGGGAAGGGAGGAAAGUCCGAGCACCGCUAAGGUAAUCCCGACGUAAAGUCGGGAUGCUCAAAGUUGCGGCCUCGCUGCGCUUCGGGCAACUUUGGCAGAGGCAGUGGCUAACGGCCACCUCCCGCCAACGGCGGGACGAGAGAGUGUCACAGAGACAAUACCGCGGACGUCAUCAUUUUCGGUCUAAAGCCGGAAGCGUUGAUAGCGCAAGGGUGAAAAGAGGUGAGGUAAAAGCUCACAGCGCGCGUUGGUGACAGCGCGCGGUGAAAAACACUUGUCCCGACGCACUAUUAAAAUUUUUGAUAGCGAAGUCGGGACCCCGGCUUUACGUCGGGGCCCGGUGCAAGUCCGACGUCGAGUUAACCUCGGUAGUCGGACGCUAGAUCCCGCAGAGCAAUCGCGGGACCAGACAGAUGGCUAUUUAAACAGAACUCGGCUUAUGAGCGGAGAAUCCAA
rnacentral:RNase_P_RNA from 1 species